rnacentral:rRNA from 1 species
GACGAACGCUGGCGGCGUGCUUAACACAUGCAAGUCGAACGGAAAGGCCCUGCUUUUGUGGUGUGCUCGAUUGGCGAACGGGGGAGUAACACGUGUGUAACCUGCCCUUGACUUUGGGAGAACUUCAGGAAACUGGGGCUAAUAUCGGAUAGGAGCUCCUGCUGCAUGGUGGGGGGUGGAAAGUUUCGGCGGUUGGGGAUGGACUCGCGGCGUAUCAGCUUGUUGGUGGGGUUGUGGCUUACCAAGCCUAGCACGGGUACCCGGCGUGAUAGGGUGAUCGGCGACACUGGAAGUGAGACACGGUCCAUGGGCCUACGGUAGGCAGCAGUAGCGAAGGGGCGGCAAUGGGCGCAAGCCUGACGCAGUGGGACGGAGUGAGUGAUGAAGGCGUUGGGUUCGGAAAGCCGUCUUAUGGGGUGAGAACAGCUUUCGCAUUAGACGAAGCGUUAGUGACGGUACCGAAUAAAGAAGCACCGGCUAACUACGUG